CCUACGGGCGGCUGCAGUGGGGAAUAUUGGACAAUGGGGGGAACCCUGAUCCAGCCAUGCGGCGGGUGUGAAGAAGGCCCUCGGGUGGUAAAGCACUUUCAGUGAGGAAGAACGCCUGGUGGUUAAUACCCAUCAGGAAAGACAUCACUCACAGAAGAAGCCCCGGCUAACUCCGUGCCAGCAGCCGCGGUAAUACGGAGGGUGCGAGCGUUAAUCGGAAUUACUGGGCGUAAAGCGCGCGUAGGUGGCUUGAUAAGCCGGUUGUGAAAGCCCCGGGCUCAACCUGGGAACGGCAUCCGGAACUGUCAAGCUAGAGUGCAGGAGAGGAAGGUAGAAUUCCCGGUGUAGCGGUGAAAUGCGUAGAGAUCGGGAGGAAUACCAGUGGCGAAGGCGGCCUUCUGGACUGACACUGACACUGAGGUGCGAAAGCGUGGGUAGCAAACAGGAUUAGAUACCCGGGUAGUC
rnacentral:rRNA from 1 species